AAAUUGAAGAGUUUGAUCAUGGCUCAGAUUGAACGCUGGCGGCAGGCCUAACACAUGCAAGUCGAACGGUAGCACAGAGAGCUUGCUCUCGGGUGACGAGUGGCGGACGGGUGAGUAAUGUCUGGGAAACUGCCUGAUGGAGGGGGAUAACUACUGGAAACGGUGGCUAAUACCGCAUAACGUCGCAAGACCAAAGAGGGGGACCUUCGGGCCUCUUGCCAUCAGAUGUGCCCAGAUGGGAUUAGCUUGUUGGUGAGGUAACGGCUCACCAAGGCGACGAUCCCUAGCUGGUCUGAGAGGAUGACCAGCCACACUGGAACUGAGACACGGUCCAGACUCCUACGGGAGGCAGCAGUGGGGAAUAUUGCACAAUGGGCGCAAGCCUGAUGCAGCCAUGCCGCGUGUAUGAAGAAGGCCUUCGGGUUGUAAAGUACUUUCAGCGGGGAGGAAGGUGUUGUGGUUAAUAACCACAGCAAUUGACGUUACCCGCAGAAGAAGCACCGGCU
rnacentral:rRNA from 1 species